rnacentral:rRNA from 1 species
AUUGAACGCUGGCGGCAUGCUUUACACAUGCAAGUCGAACGGUAACAGGCCGCAAGGUGCUGACGAGUGGCGAACGGGUGAGUAAUGCAUCGGAACGUGCCCAGUCGUGGGGGAUAACGCAGCGAAAGCUGCGCUAAUACCGCAUACGAUCUAUGGAUGAAAGCGGGGGACCGAAAGGCCUCGCGCGAUUGGAGCGGCCGAUGUCAGAUUAGGUAGUUGGUGGGGUAAAGGCCCACCAAGCCAACGAUCUGUAGCUGGUCUGAGAGGACGACCAGCCACACUGGGACUGGGACACGGCCCAGACUCCUACGGGAGGCAGCAGUGGGGAAUUUUGGACAAUGGGCGCAAGCCUGAUCCAGCAAUGCCGCGUGCAGGAAGAAGGCCUUCGGGUUGUAAACUGCUUUUGUAUGGAACGAAACGGUCCGGGUUAAUACCCUGGGCUAAUGACGGUACCGUAAGAAUAAGCACCGGCUAACUACGUGCCAGCCGCCGCAGUAAGAC